UCCCUGGUGGCUCAGAGGAUAAAGCGUCUGCCUGCAGUGCAGGAGACCUGGGUUCGAUCCCCGGGUUGGGAA
rnacentral:tRNA from 1 species